rnacentral:rRNA from 1 species
CACGUAGGGGACGAGCGUUGUCCGGAUUCAUUGGGCGUAAAGCGCGUGUAGGCUGCUCGGUAAGUCGGAUGUGAAAGCCCUGGGCUCAACCUAGGAAGUGCAUUCGAAACUUCCGAGCUGGAGUGCUGGAGAGGAAGGCGGAAUUCUCGGUGUAGAGGUGAAAUUCGUAGAUAUCGAGAGGAACACCGGUGGCGAAGGCGGCCUUCUGGACAGCCACUGACGCUGAGACGCGAAAGCGUGGGGAGCAAACAGG